UACGUAGGGUCCGAGCGUUGUCCGGAAUUACUGGGCGUAAAGAGCUCGUAGGUGGUUUGUCGCGUUGUUCGUGAAAACUCACAGCUCAACUGUGGGCGUGCGGGCGAUACGGGCAGACUUGAGUACUGCAGGGGAGACUGGAAUUCCUGGUGUAGCGGUGGAAUGCGCAGAUAUCAGGAGGAACACCAAUAGCGAAGGCAGCUCGCUGGGACGUUACUGACACUGAGGCGCGAAAGCGUGGGGAGCGAACAGG
rnacentral:rRNA from 1 species